UUCAUUUUUACAUGUUGAAGCAUUAUUUUGUUACAUGAGCAUCCGAAUCAUUAAAAUCCGGAUCGAACUUGAGUUACAUUACGAACCGCACGCAAACCCCCGCGGCGCAACCCUGCCCUAAUCGCAGCGACCGCUCUUUUUCUUCGGCGACUGCGGCGUCUCCUCAAUGAACGACGGCUGCCUUUCUCUCCAUCGGGAAACAGCGACAGUUGGCGGUGGCGUCUUCCCUUUCCGUUAUCUCUCUUUCUCUUCCUCCUUCGCCAUCGCACACUCCCUUCUCCUCCCUCUUUCCCCUCUGUUCAUCGCAGCCCCGCCCCCACCCCCGCCCCACGCGCGCCAGCCCCCCUUCCCCGAUCCCUCCUCCCUCUCCCCCUUUCGUCGCAAGGGUUAUAGCGUGCUUCACAGUUUCUGAAGCUACCAACUGCAAUAGAUAAAUAGUGGAAGGUAGUGUCAGUGCGCAUGUGUCACAUCAAGACAUUAUUUCAGUGGUGGAGAAUUGCUUGGAUUUGAGCAUGAUAAUAAGUAAAUGAUCAAAGGUACUCAUAAUCCACACUCAAACACCAUUUAGAGACUUUAAUCUGAAAGAAAUGGUUUAUGGGAACUGAUGGCAGGUGGAUUUAUGUGAAGAAUUUUAUCUGAUACAGAUGAUCAGCUUGAAGUUUUCAACUUCCUUUUGGUUGGAAGCAGAUACAGAAAAUAUAUUUAGUUUCGAUGCGCUUGAUCUGAGGUAGAAGAGGAGUUGGACUUAUAGAUGAUGUUUUUGGUGCAAAAAAGGCUCUUUUGCCUUUUCCCAUGUAACAAUUCCUCCAUUUAUCUUUCCUCCUAUCAACUUUGCGGCCUGUUUAACUUUUCCACUGCCACAUACGAAAGUUCAGAGCACAGUUCCAACUUGAUAGUGGUCAACCCCCUUCAAUCAUGUGAACUUUCCUCAGAAAAGGCUGCAAAAACAGCCAAGUAUCACGCCUGUCGUAAAAAUUCUUCGAGUCUUUCCAUUGUGUUCUUCAAGCAGAACGGUUGGAGCGAUGCACAAGUCAUGAAAGUUACCCAGAAGUUACCCAAGUUGCUGCGUGCUAAGGUAGAGACUACACUGAAGCCCAGGAUGAGAUCUUUGCAGGACAUGGGAUUUUCUGUUAUUGAAAUAGUUCAGUUGGUUUCAAAAUGUCCGACUAUACUCUUUCAGAAUGUCCAACCGAAGUUGAACUUCUUGAAGUCACUACUUGGUUCUAAUGAGAGGUUACUGAAAGCCUGCAGUAGGAACCGAUUUCUUCUUACUUCUAGCUUAGCUCGGACGAUAAAGCCCAAUAUAUCUCUCUUAAGGGAAUGUGGCAUCAGCGAUGAACACAUCGCGCGUAUGGUGGUGAUGAUCCCGGGUUUUGUUAUUCGAAAAAACAAAUUUAUUAAGGAAGUUAUUGAACAUGUUGAGGAGUUGGGUGUGCCACAUGAUUCUGGAAUGUUCCCUUAUGCACUUCUUGCUGUCUUGAACAUUAGCAGAUCUAACUGUGAUGCUACCUUUGCAACCUUGAAGAGCUUUGGUUGGUCCGAGCCAGACAUCUUUGCCAUACUCAGGAAUAACCCAUUUGUUUGGAAACUCUCGAAGAAGAACAUAUCUGACAAGAUGACAUUCCUGAUAAAGGAAGCUGGUUGUGAGAUGCAGGAUAUCAUUCGCCAACCUGGGAUUCUUUCACGUAGCUUGGAGAAGAGGAUGAGACCUCGGUAUGAAGUUAUGAAUUUUCUUGAGCAGAAUAAAUUGCUGGAUAAAGGACAUAGCCUUAUGUCUGUCAUGCUACUUACCGAGGGGAAGUUCAUAAACAAAUAUCUUUUCCCGUACAAGGAGAAAUUUACUGCUCUCUAUAGUUCCUAUGUUGCUGCUGUGCAGGGAAAGCACCAUGUUGUCCCUGAAAAUUAGGAUUGCAAGUGCUUCCUCGAGACAAAAGUGUAAUCAUACUUACUGCACUAUUUAAUCAUCUUAAAUUUGUGACAACUUAUAUUCUUUAGGAGUUUCUUCUGAGUAGAACAUCCCUGUUGAGUUUGAUAUUUUAUUUCUAAUUAUCUUUUGCGUACAACGCUAGAUACCGUUUAUUUUA